ensembl:lncRNA
UAUUAGAACUGCCUCCGCCUGGCUGUGAGGUUUCGGGCGUAACAUGUUAACAUCCAGCAAUGUGGAACCUCAAAAAACCUCAAAAGACUGCGUGGUAUAUCGGCAGGGGCCGGGGGAACCUGCAGCCUCCCACGGAUGCGAGGCUUCCCCUUUAAGCACCUGCGCGCGGGCCCGCGGAGGGAGCCCUCCGGAAGUCGCUGCGCGCUGCCACGGAGUCAGAUUCCUCCGCCGAGGGCGGGGUCCGGUCCCGCGUCUCGGCCUCCAGUCUACCUAGGUUUCCUCCGUUCCCCGCCGCCCGCCGGCGUCAGGACUCUCAGCUCGCCGCUUCUGCAGCCAAUAGUGCUGGCGACCCUGCCCACGGGCGCUCGGGCCUCGGCCCGGCCUGGACUGCGGGGGCCGGACGCGCCGCCGCCGUGACCCGCCCCCGAGCGACACGCACUUCCGGCGGCGGCGCGGCGGCGCGGCGGCGGGCGGCGGAGCGCGGUGGGAGGCGAUGGAGGCGCCGGCGGUCCUGAUGCAGGACGUCCUGGGGCCGAACCACGCGCUGCGCAGGGAUAAAGGCGCGAUCAUGGACCAAGUUCGGCGGCUGCUGCUGUGCGAGAAGACCGACCUGCUGUCCCAGGCGUGCCCGCCCGCCUGCCCCGUGGCUUUUCCCGACAUCUUCCGAUACUGCGAAGGCUGCUUCAGACCGCCCUGGACGAUCUGGGCCACCUGGGAAGUGCCCGAGCUUGUCACACCCCCGGGGACACCGAUGGAGAGCUGAGGCCCUGAGACGGAUGCCAGGGUUCGCGUGCCUGGCGGCCAAAUAUUGACCCAUUUACUCUAGGAAUCUGUUUUCCACAUACUUUGUUUGUGUUCUGAAACCACAACAGUUUCAGAUAUUGUGCCUUUUAGUCGGAGAAGUCCAGGCUCUGGACAGGACAUUUGAAAAGUACUUCCUUUUAAAAUGUUAUGGCAAUUCAAAUACAACACAAAUGAACAUAUCUACGAAACAGAUUCAGACAUGGAGAACAGACUUGUUGGCAAGAAAACCAGGCAACUCUUCAUCUGUUCAACUAGAGAAUGCACCUAGAGCCAGAAGUGCUCGUUUUGCGCAAUGCUGCUUUUACAUCUCAGUCACGCACGUUGUUACCGUUGGAUCAUCUAAUACAUUUCUUUCAGACAUCUUCCUUUCCUGCCAACUAAUUGAAGGUCAUGGACCAGCAGAGCAGGGACUGCCUUUGUGAUGCAAACUACAGAUAACUAUUCAAGUUCAGUGAAAUCCUUCACCUUUCCUAGAUCCUUUUCAAGUGGCCAUGCUGUCAACAGUUGUCUGCAGUGAUUCUUAAGCUUUCAGAGCAUCAGCCCCUCCUGAAGGACUUAUUAGAAAGCACAUGGUGCCUGGCCAUAUCUCCAGAGUUUCUGAGUGGGUCUGGGGUGGGAUC